rnacentral:misc_RNA from 1 species
GUGCAAUAGCGCGUAAUGGAGCCAAGCUUUUUGCAGUUGGCACCACUUCAUCACUGGUUGGCACAGCUGUUACAAACGCUCUAAUCAAUGCAAGGAAGGCUAUUGAUAAGAAUGGUGCCGUCGAAGUGGAAAAUGUGCCUAUACUUUCCACCAGUGUUGGCUAUGGUGUCUACAUGGCUGUCUCCAGCAAUCUCAGGUAUCAAGUUCUGGCGGGUGUUAUUGAACAACGAAUUUUGGAACCCAUGUUACACCAGCACAAGCUGAUGCUGAGUGCAAUUUGCUUUGCUGUUAGGACAGGCAACACAUUCCUUGGCUCACUCUUGUGGGUGGACUAUGCCCGUUUGAUAGGAGUUCAGUAGUGAAUGCUAAUUCCGU